rnacentral:rRNA from 1 species
AUUGAACGCUGGCGGCAGGCCUAACACAUGCAAGUCGAACGAGCGGCGGACGGGUGAGUAAUGUCUGGGAAACUGCCUGAUGGAGGGGGAUAACUACUGGAAACGGUAGCUAAUACCGCAUACCAUCAGAUGUGCCCAGCUGGGAUUAGCUAGUAGGUGGGGUAAUGGCUCACCUGGGCGACGAUCCCUAGCUGGUCUGAGAGGAUGACCAGCACCACGGGAACUGGGACACGGUCCAGACUCCUACGGGAGGCACCAGUGGGGAAUAUUGCACAAGGGGCGCAAGCCUGAUGCAGCCAGGCCGCGUGUGUGAGGAGGGCCUUCGGGUUGUAAAGCACUUUCAGCGAGGAGGCGUUACUCGCAGAAGAAGCACCGGCUAACUCCGUGCCAGCAGCCGCGAUAAUUC